GCUAAUUCCGUGCCAGCAGCCGCGGUGAUACGGAAGAUGCAAGUGUAUCCGGGAUUUAUUGGGUUUAAAGGGUGCGUAGGUGGUCUAAUAAGUCAGUGGUGAAAUCUCUUUGCUUAACAAGGAAAUUGCCAUUGAAACUGUUAGACUUGAGAAUGGACGAGGUAGGCGGAAUUCGUAGUGUAGCGGUGAAAUGCAUAGAUAUUACGAAGAACUCCAAUAGUGUAGACUGCUUACCAGACCAUAUCUGACACUAAGGCACGAAAGUGUGGGUAUCAAACAGGAUUAGAUACCCUGGUAGUCCACACAGUAAACGAUGAAUACUAACUGUUUGCGAUAUACAGCAAGUGGUCGAGCGAAAGCGUUAAGUAUUCCACCUGGGAAGUAUGCCGGCAACGGUGAAACUCAAAGGAAUUGACGGGGGCCCGCACAAGCGGAGGAACAUGUGGUUUAAUUCGAUAAUACGCGAGGAACCUUACCCGGGCUCGAACGAUAUUUGAAUACAUCCGAAAAGAUGUAGCUAGCAAUAGCAAAUACCGAGGUGCUGCAUGGUUGUCGUCAGCUCGUGCCGUGAGGUGUCGACUUAAGUGUCAUAACGAGCGCAACCCUUACCGAUAGUUACCAUCAGAUAAUGCUGGGGACUCUAUUGGGACUGCCACCGUAAGGUGUGAGGAAGGAGAGGAUGACGUCAAAUCAGCACGGCCCUUAUGUCCGGGGCGACACACGUGUUACAAUGGGAGAAACAAAGGGUCGCUACCUGGCAACAGGAUGCUAAUCUCGAAAAUCUCUCUCAGUUCGGAUUGGAGUCUGCAACUCGACUCCAUGAAGCUGGAUUCGCUAGUAAUCGCACAUCAGCCAUGGUGCGGUGAAUACGUUCCCGGGCCUUGUACACACCGCCCGUCAAGCCAUGGAAGCUGGAAGUACCUGAAGUAUGUAACUGAAAAGAGCGUCCU
rnacentral:rRNA from 1 species